rnacentral:rRNA from 1 species
UGUGAGUAAUGGCUCACCAAGGCUGCGAUCCGUAGCUGGUUUGAGAGGACGACCAGCCACACUGGGACUGAGACACGGCCCAGACUCUACGGGAGGCAGCAGUGGGGAAUUUUGGACAAUGGGGGCAACCCUGAUCCAGCCAUCCCGCGUGUGCGAUGAAGGCCUUCGGGUUGUAAAGCACUUUUGGCAGGGAAGAAAGGGCGCUGGUUAAUACCUGGCGUUGAUGACGGUACCUGCAGAAUAAGCACCGGCUAACUACGUGCCAGCAGCCGCGGUAAUACGUAGGGUGCAAGCGUUAAUCGGAAUUACUGGGCGUAAAGGGUGCGUCGGCGGUUUGGCAAGAAAGGUGUGAAAUCCCAGGGCUUAACCUUGGAACUGCACUUUUAACUGCCAGGCUAGAGUACGUCAGAGGGGGGUAGAAUUCCAUGUGUAGCAGUGAAAUGCGUAGAGAUGUGGAGGAAUACCGAUGGCGAAGGCAGCCCCCUGGGAUGAUACUGACGCUCAGGCACGAAAGCGUGGGGAGCAAACAGGAUUACGAUACCCUGGUAGUCCACGCCCUAAACGAUGUCAACUAGCUGUUGGGGCCGUUAGGCUUUAGUAGCGCAGCUAACGCGUGAAGUUGACCGCCUGGGGAGUACGGUCGCAAGAUUAAAACUCAAAGGAAUUGACGGGGACCCGCACAAGCGGUGGAUGAUGUGGAUUAAUUCGAUGCAACGCGAAAAACCUUACCUACCCUUGACAUGUCUGGAAGCUCGAAGAGAUUUGAGUGUGCUCGCAAGAGAACCGGAACACAGGUGCUGCAUGGCUGUCGUCAGCUCGUGUCGUGAGAUGUUGGGUUAAGUCCCGCAACGAGCGCAACCCUUGUCACUAGUUGCUACGCAAGGGCACUCUAGUGAGACUGCCGGUGACAAACCGGAGGAAGGUGGGGAUGACGUCAAGUCCUCAUGGCCCUUAUGGGUAGGGCUUCACACGUCAUACAAUGGUCGGGACAGAGGGUUGCCAACCCGCGAGGGGGAGCCAAUCUCAGAAACCCGAUCGUAGUCCGGAUUGCAGGCUGCAACUCGCCUGCAUGAAGUCGGAAUCGCUAGUAAUCGCGGAUCAGCAUGUCGCGGUGAAUACGUUCCCGGGUCUUGUACACACCGCCCGUCACACCAUGGGAGUGGGUUUCACCAGAAGUAGGUAGCCUAACCGUAAGGGGGGCGCUUACCACGGUGGGAUUCAUGACUGGGGUGAAGUCGUAACAAGGUAACC